AAAGCAAACAGUUUGGUUCCUGUCUUUGCUCUCUGCUUUCUUAAAUUGAGAGAAAGGCGUGCAGGCUGGCAGCUUCUCUUAGAGUGAUUUUCCGCGUGGUCCUAAAGCCAGCCACCAAUAUGCUAAACAGCCAUUGCAUUUUAACCUAUUUAAUCUCAUCGGUCACAAUACUGACCAUAAAAAACGUUAAGUUAUAAGGCUUUACAAAUGUUACUGAAAUGUAUCAAUGCAUUUCCAGCAAAUAUUGAAAUAAUUAAGGGUCUCAAUGAAAUAUGUGCAGUGUCACAUGUUUAGUGUAAAUUGUCACAUGACCAGAGCUGUUUACUUCCUAGUUGCACCCACCAUGAGAAGAGUAUGUCUGCGUCAAAGCUCCCAAACAAACGUUUCACUUUGAGUCAAGUUCUGGAUAUGUUGGAUCUAGGUGACUGCCCAGACAAGGCAUGCAACAUUGCAGUUAUCCCUCACAAUGAGAAAGAUGCUGUCCUUAGUGAUUGUAAUAGUGAUGGGUCAGAUAUGGACUAUGGACAGGCCAUUUGCCAGCCAGGCUGUUGAACGCAUAUGCUGAACCUAUGCAAACAUAUCAUGACAGGAACAAUGUUAUCAGUGAUGAUCGUAGUUCAAAACAGUGAUGCACAAACUAAUCUUGCACUUGGUUCUGAAGCCUAACUCAUAUAUAUAUAUAUAUAUUAAAACAAUUGUAUUUUGUUCAGUGUAGGCCUCUACUUGAAUGCAUAUUCUACAGGCUACAUCUAUCCUAAAUGUUACCUUUAUGUUCAGUGGUAAUGAAUCACACGACUGCUAUACAUUUGUUAGUGAAUGUUGCACUAAAAUGUCGUACAAGUUCAAAUGUUACAAUAAAGUUACAAUAUUAAUGUUUCAGUA